rnacentral:rRNA from 1 species
UACAGAGGGUGCGAGCGUUAAUCGGAAUUACUGGGCGUAAAGCGCGCGUAGGCGGCUUUGCAAGUCGGGUGUGAAAUCCCCAGGCUUAACCUGGGAACUGCAUUCGAGACUGCAUUGCUAGAGUAUGGGAGAGGGAAGUGGAAUUUCCGGUGUAGCGGUGAAAUGCGUAGAUAUCUGGAGGAACACCGGUGGCGAGGGCGGCAUCCUGGACCAACACUGACGCUGAGUGAGCGAAAGCCAGGGGAGCAAACGGG